UAACCGUCAGUUCUGUGAGUGCACGAAAUUGAUGACUUCUCGCGGCAUAACAAACAGCCCUUGCUCUGUUGCUCAUUAAAUGCCUUCAAGAUGUAGUUCUAGCAGAGAGAAGCCACUGUGAAAUGUUACUAAAGCUACAAUGACUAUGAAAGGGAAGGGUGAAUUUCAAAGGGGAAGGUUUUUGCAAGUUUGAACUUGCACAAAAACACCCCUCACCUGUCUGACCAAUGAGAGGGCUGCUCUUUUGUUACAUCAUGCUUUACAUGCACGGUGUAGCUUAUGUGUUGAAACCAGAGUUUAAAAAUUACUAACUGACAAUUCAACAAAUUAACACUCAAUUUUGCAAGCUGCUCCUCUGUCAUGCUGCUGCAUGAUGUUUUGAUUUUUAGUAUAACUUUGUGCU